rnacentral:sRNA from 1 species
UGCUUUAGCUUCAAAUCGGACGCUUAAACCCCUCUGCAUUUACAGCAACCACUUUCAGCGCGUUCGAUUCCAUCCCGCCGAGUUCUAAUGGCUGCCCCCAACAAUGCGCCGACGGUUUUGGACAAGGAACAGGUGGGUUUUCGAAAGACCUUAAUUUGGUUUUAAACAAUUGUGCAAAUUUUUGGUAUGGCAGAGAAGGAGAUGGAAUACAGGUUGAGUUGUUCAACAAGCUCACCGUGGAAUGUCCUCGACCCAAGAGGUAAAAAUGAUCUUCUCCUCAUGGAAAGUACUCUGAUGUAAGUUCUUUUUCCAAAAUUUCAACUUUCAGUUUCGGGAUUGAUUCUUGAUUUCAAACUUUUAUUUGAUUUUUCUGCCUGAAUGCCGGAGAUGAGAUUUGUGGUAAUUCUCUGAAGUUGUUGAAACCCCUAACAAUCACGUUGAUGUGAAAAUGUGGUAGGAAAUUGCAUAGCCUGAUUCCUUGUUUAUUCUUUUGUGGCUUUCUAGCUUGUCACUAGAGUCAUAAGAUUUGGUUUAAUUGGUAGAGCAAUAUUGUAUGCAAUAUUUCCAGGACCAGAGAUGAGUUAUUUCGCAUCUCCCCAAUCUUUUGCAUUUCUUAAUGUUAUUUUCCUUUCCAUAACCUGUGUUUUGUUUGGGGUA